rnacentral:rRNA from 1 species
UGCGGAAUUUUAGAUAAUGGAGGGAACUCUGAUCUAGCGACGCCGCGUGCAGGAAGAAGGUCUUCGGAUUGUAAACUGCUGUGGUAAGGGAAAAAUGCUACGUAGAGUGGAAAGCUACAUAGAGGGAUGGUACCUUACUAGAAAGCCCCGGCUAACUACGUGCCAGCAGCCGCGGUAAUACGUAGGGGGCGAGCGUUACCCGGAAUCACUGGGCGUAAAGGGAGCGUAGGUGGCCUAACAUGUCAACUGUGAGAACCCGGAGCUCAACUCCGGACUUGCAGUUGAAACUGGUAGGCUUGAGGACGGUAGAGGAAGACGGAACUGCCAGUGUAGGGGUAAAAUCCUUAGAUAUUGGCAGGAACGCCGGUGACGAAGGUGGUGUUCUGGGCCGGUUCUGAUACUGAUGCUCGAAAGCCAGGGGAGCGAACGG